AAGUCGUAACAAGGUUUCCGUAGGUGAACCUGCGGAAGGAUCAUUAAUACGUCUAAACAACGUUUUAAACCUUUCAAAUUUGUGGAAAUUCUUACCAUUCCGGGUGCAUCUCUUUGGCAUGAGAAGGGACUUCUUGUUAUGAGACACUUCAGUGUAGAGCAGUGAGGUGAAAUCUGAGGUUUUGAUGGCUUGGAUUUGGUUCUGGAUCACGACUCUUUGGUGACAGAGAGUCAAAUGCUGAAUGCAUUCGGUUAUUACUGUUCUACAUUUUAUUCUAUCAAACUUAUAAACCCCAUGUACAACAACUUGAACUAAACAUCUCUUCUGAUCACAUUGACUUGUGUGAUGAAGAACAAAUCUGAAAUUAAGAACAACUCUUAACAACGGAUAUCUUGGUUCUC
rnacentral:misc_RNA from 1 species